rnacentral:rRNA from 1 species
UACGUAGGGUGCGAGCGUUGUCCGGAAUUAUUGGGCGUAAAGAGCUUGUAGGCGGUCUGUCGCGUCUGCUGUGAAAAUCCCGGGGCUCAACCCCGGACUUGCAGUGGGUACGGGCAGACUAGAGUGUGGUAGGGGAGACUGGAAUUCCUGGUGUAGCGGUGAAAUGCGCAGAUAUCAGGAGGAACACCGAGUGGCGAAGGCAGGUCUCUGGGCCACUGACUG